rnacentral:rRNA from 1 species
GAUGAACGCUGGCGGCGUGCCUAAUACAUGCAAGUCGAGCGAACAGACGAGGAGCUUGCUCCUCUGACGUUAGCGGCGGACGGGUGAGUAACACGUGGAUAACCUACCUAUAAGACUGGGAUAACUUCAGGAAACCGGAGCUAAUACCGGAUAAUAUAUUGUACCGCAUGGUUAAAUAGUUAAAGCCGGUUUUGCUGUCACUUAUAGAUGGAUCCGCGCCGCGUUAGCUAGUUGGUAAGGUAAAGGCUUACCAAGGCAACGAUGCGUAGCCGACCGGAGAGGGGGAUCGGCCACACUGGAACUGAGACACGGUCCAGACUCCUACGGGAGGCAGCAGUAGGGAAUGUUCCGCAAUGGGCGAAAGCCUGACGGAGCAACGCCGCGUGAGUGAUGAAGGUCUUCGGAUCGUAAAACUCUGUUAUUAGUGAAGAACAAAUGUGUAAGUAACUAUGCACGUCUUGACGGUACCUAAUCAGAAAGCCACGGCUAACUACGUG